UUAUAUCUCUGUACGGGAAGGAUGAGAAGCUUCGACCAAGGUUCGAUUCGAGCGUCAGCGAGAAAGCGUUGCCGCAGGCAACGACCCGAAGGGCGAAGCGCGCAGCGCUGAGUCAUCCUUCCCCCACCACCA
rnacentral:sRNA from 1 species